UUAAUAGUAAAAUCUGCUCAAUGAAUUUUUAAAUAAAUAGCCGCAACUCGUGCUAAGGUAGCAUAAUCAUUUGUCUUUUAAAUGAAGACUGGAACAAAGGAUUUAACAUUUCAAUUUAUUUAUUUAGCUUAACAAUUUAAAUUAUCUUAAAUGUAAAAAGACAUUUAUAAAAAAGAAAGACGACAAGACCCUAUUGAACUUAACUUUAGUUAAACUGGGGUAGUUAAUUAAUUAUUAUUUUAAUUAAAUUAUCUUAAAAAAAAUCCACUUACUUGAUAAUCAAGUUACCAUAGGGAUAACAGCGCAAUUAAAUUUUAAAGUCCUCAUUUAAAAAGUAGAUUACGACCUCGAUGUUGAAUUAAUAACCUAUAUUUAAAGUAAAUUUUAAAAAAGGAAGUCUGUUCGACUUUUAAUAAAUUACAUGAUUUGAGUUCAGACCGGUGUAAGCCAGGUCGGUUUCUAUCUUCUAUAUAGUUUUCUACAGUACGAAAGGACCUAAAAAUAUAAUUUAAUUAAUUAAUUGGCAGAUAAGUGCAUUAGAAUUAGAAUCUAAAUAAUCUAUU
rnacentral:rRNA from 1 species